UUCCUCUUUUUUUUUUCAGUGAUGAAGCCAUGAGGAAAGCUGGUGUUGCCCAUAACAAAUCCAGCAAAGAUAUGGAGAGCCAUGUGUUUAUGAAGGCCAAAACAAGGGAGGAAUAUCUUUCUCUUGUGGCCAGGCUCAUUAUCCAUUUCCGAGACAUUCACAAUAAGAAAUCUCAAGCCUCAGUCAGUGGUAAGAGUUCCUUUUUUGUUGUUGUUUUCUUCCUUGCCAUACUCUCCAUUUCUAAAUAGAACUUAGACAUCAGGGCUGUGGUUACUAAGAAUAAAGUAUACAAAUCUGUGGAUUGCCUAGCUGGGAUAUUAAAUGUAUUAAAUGCUGCUGGAGUAAAGGAAGGGGAGCAGGACAGGGUUGGGGUUGUUCAGUGCUGAGGAUGACAGGCUGGGCCAGUGCUUUGGAUGUAACACUGCAGCCUUCCUUGUGCCUGUUUGUACUUCUGCUAGCUCACAGCAGGCAGGUUCUGAAAGCACCAGAGUGAUAAAUAAUCUGCUGAGCAGCCCAGUGAUAAAUAAUCUGUUGGCUGCUGUGGCUCCCCAGGUGUUGCACCUGAGGCAGAAAUAUUUGUGGGGCCAUUUGGAGAGCUUAGAUGUGAUCCUGGCUCCUGCCUGUGCUCACUCUCACUGCAGUGGGCGUUAGGGACAGUGUGGUGCUGUGCUUUUAUCCCUCUG